UACGUAGGGGGCAAGCGUUGUCCGGAUUUACUGGGCGUAAAGAGCGCGCAGGCGGUCGUUCAAGUCGCGUGUGAAAGCCCCCGGCUCAACUGGGGAGGGUCACGCGAUACUGCUCGACUCGAAGGCAGGAGAGGGUAGUGGAAUUCCCGGUGUAGUGGUGAAAUGCGUAGAUAUCGGGAGGAACACCAGUGGCGAAGGCGACUACCUGGCCUGUUCUUGACGCUGAGGCGCGAAAGCUAGGGGAGCAAACGGG
rnacentral:rRNA from 1 species